rnacentral:rRNA from 1 species
GGGAGUGAAAUAGAACCUGAAACCGUGUGCUUACAAGUAGUCAGAGCCCGUUAAUGGGUGAUGGCGUGCCUUUUGUAGAAUGAACCGGCGAGUUACGAUUUGAUGCAAGGUUAAGCAGUAAAUGUGGAGCCGUAGCGAAAGCGAGUCUGAAUAGGGCGUUUAGUAUUUGGUCGUAGACCCGAAACCAGGUGAUCUACCCUUGGUCAGGUUGAAGUUCAGGUAACACUGAAUGGAGGACCGAACCGACUUACGUUGAAAAGUGAGCGGAUGAACUGAGGGUAGCGGAGAAAUUCCAAUCGAACCUGGAGAUAGCUGGUUCUCUCCGAAAUAGCUUUAGGGCUAGCCUCAAGUGAUGAUUAUUGGAGGUAGAGCACUGUUUGGACGAGGGGCCCCUCUCGGGUUACCGAAUUCAGACAAACUCCGAAUGCCAAUUAAUUUAACUUGGGAGUCAGAACAUGGGUGAUAAGGUCCGUGUUCGAAAGGGAAACAGCCCAGACCACCAGCUAAGGUCCCAAAAUAUAUGUUAAGUGGAAAAGGAUGUGGCGUUGCCCAGACAACUAGGAUGUUGGCUUAGAAGCAGCCAUCAUUUAAAGAGUGCGUAAUAGCUCACUAGUCGAGUGACACUGCGCCGAAAAUGUACCGGGGCUAAACAUAUUACCGAAGCUGUGGAUUGUCCUUUGGACAAUGGUAGGAGAGCGUUCUAAGGGCGUUGAAGCAUGAUCGUAAGGACAUGUGGAGCGCUUAGAAGUGAGAAUGCCGGUGUGAGUAGCGAAAGACGGGUGAGAAUCCCGUCCACCGAUUGACUAAGGUUUCCAGAGGAAGGCUCGUCCGCUCUGGGUUAGUCGGGUCCUAAGCUGAGGCCGACAGGCGUAGGCGAUGGAUAACAGGUUGAUAUUCCUGUACCACCUAUAAUCGUUUUAAUCGAUGGGGGGACGCAGUAGGAUAGGCGAAGCGUGCGAUUGGAUUGCACGUCUAAGCAGUAAGGCUGAGUAUUAGGCAAAUCCGGUACUCGUUAAGGCUGAGCUGUGAUGGGGAGAAGACAUUGUGUCUUCGAGUCGUUGAUUUCACACUGCCGAGAAAAGCCUCUAGAUAGAAAAUAGGUGCCCGUACCGCAAACCGACACAGGUAGUCAAGAUGAGAAUUCUAAGGUGAGCGAGCGAACUCUCGUUAAGGAACUCGGCAAAAUGACCCCGUAACUUCGGGAGAAGGGGUGCUCUUUAGGGUUAACGCCCAGAAGAGCCGCAGUGAAUAGGCCCAAGCGACUGUUUAUCAAAAACACAGGUCUCUGCUAAACCGUAAGGUGAUGUAUAGGGGCUGACGCCUGCCCGGUGCUGGAAGGUUAAGAGGAGUGGUUAGCUUCUGCGAAGCUACGAAUCGAAGCCCCAGUAAACGGCGGCCGUAACUAUAACGGUCCUAAGGUAGCGAAAUUCCUUGUCGGGUAAGUUCCGACCCGCACGAAAGGCGUAACGAUUUGGGCACUGUCUCAACGAGAGACUCGGUGAAAUCAUAGUACCUGUGAAGAUGCAGGUUACCCGCGACAGGACGGAAAGACCCCGUGGAGCUUUACUGUAGCCUGAUAUUGAAAUUCGGCACAGCUUGUACAGGAUAGGUAGGAGCCUUUGAAACGUGAGCGCUAGCUUACGUGGAGGCGCUGGUGGGAUACUACCCUAGCUGUGUUGGCUUUCUAACCCGCACCACUUAUCGUGGUGGGAGACAGUGUCAGGCGGGCAGUUUGACUGGGGCGGUCGCCUCCUAAAAGGUAACGGAGGCGCUCAAAGGUUCCCUCAGAAUGGUUGGAAAUCAUUCAUAGAGUGUAAAGGCAUAAGGGAGCUUGACUGCGAGACCUACAAGUCGAGCAGGGUCGAAAGACGGACUUAGUGAUCCGGUGGUUCCGCAUGGAAGGGCCAUCGCUCAACGGAUAAAAGCUACCCCGGGGAUAACAGGCUUAUCUCCCCCAAGAGUUCACAUCGACGGGGAGGUUUGGCACCUCGAUGUCGGCUCAUCGCAUCCUGGGGCUGUAGUCGGUCCCAAGGGUUGGGCUGUUCGCCCAUUAAAGCGGUACGCGAGCUGGGUUCAGAACGUCGUGAGACAGUUCGGUCCCUAUCCGUCGUGGGCGUAGGAAAUUUGAGAGGAGCUGUCCUUAGUACGAGAGGACCGGGAUGGACAUACCUCUGGUGUACCAGUUGUCGUGCCAACGGCAUAGCUGGGUAGCUAUGUGUGGACGGGAUAAGUGCUGAAAGCAUCUAAGCAUGAAGCCCCCCUCAAGAUGAGAUUUCCCAACUUCGGUUAUAAGAUCCCUCAAAGAUGAUGAGGUUAAUAGGUUCGAGGUGGAAGCAUGGUGACAUGUGGAGCUGACGAAUACUAAUCGAUCGAAGACUUAAUCAA